GGCGAUGAAGAAGCAGCAGACCGG
rnacentral:siRNA from 1 species